rnacentral:rRNA from 1 species
AUUGAACGCUGGCGGCAGGCCUAACACAUGCAAGUCGAACGGUAACAGGAAGCAGCUUGCUGCUUUGCUGACGAGUGGCGGACGGGUGAGUAAUGUCUGGGAAACUGCCUGAUGGAGGGGGAUAACUACUGGAAACGGUAGCUAAUACCGCAUAACGUCCCAAGACCAAAGAGGGGGACCUUCGGGCCUCUUGCCAUCGGAUGUGCCCAGAUGGGAUUAGCUAGUAGGUGGGGUAACGGCUCACCUAGGCGACGAUCCCUAGCUGGUCUGAGAGGAUGACCAGCCACACUGGAACUGAGACAUGGUCCAGACUCCUACGGGAGGCAGCAGUGGGGAAUAUUGCACAAUGGGCGCAAGCCUGAUGCAGCCAUGCCGCGUGUAUGAAGAAGGCCUUCGGGUUGUAAAGUACUUUCAGCGGGGAGGAAGGGAGUAAAGUUAAUACCUUUGCUCAUUGACGUUACCCGCAGAAGAAGCACCGGCUAACUCCGUG